GCAAUAGAAAGUCUCUCCCUUUUUUACAUUGUAGUCUCCACUCUGUGAUGAAUAUGCAUCGCCCCAGAUACAUGACAUUGUAGUGUAUGCAGAAAAUGGUGUGUACCUCAUCCAGCCUAGGUUCGUAAGGAUUUUAGUUGCAAAUUGCUCAUGACGUUGUCGGAAGGUCUUUUUGACGGAACGAGCGCCUGAGGACAGCGACGUAAACAGAGAAGAGUUGCGUCGGAAGUGACUGCUACGGUAGGCCGGGCUCGCCGCAGUGCUAGUGUUCGAGAGUAGUCUACUAACAAGUUUUUGUAGUAUAGUAGGCGGCGUUGUGCAGUGCCAUGCCCGCUCGACCCCAGCAACGGAGAGGCGCUGAGCAGAGAGCAAAAACACUAUGGCUAGCUGUGCCCGAACUCGGAAUGUCCUCGCCAAGCACACUGGACACAUGUCUAGUUUCGUCUCUUGUUCGCUAAGGCAGCUAAUAGUAGUACUGCCGGGACAGUCAGUACAGGUCAUGAGACUCAUUGCAUGCACUGGGCCAAUGAUUCCGCUAGGUAUGCUCUCCGGAAUUCCAUUUCGGAGGUGUUGACUUUCUUAGCAACUGCACUGCCUAAGGCAAAGAACCGCCACUCCAGGACGUCUUUGGAUAGCGACGAAUGGGGAACGUCUUUUCGUAGAGACCUGGCUGGGAGCACAAUGUCAUACACUUGUAGGAAAAAGUGGCAACCAGAAGAGCCGGACCAGUGAUGCUGGGAUAUCUUCAUUGGAAGAAGGCUAGCUGUAUGGCGGCAUAGCCAGAAGGUUGGUGAACAGCAGCCAUCAGCAAGCCAGCAAGAAGCAAGCCGGCGAAGAAAAUUCAUGCGAAGAAAAUUCUACAGUAUUAGCCAUCCCGAACCCCGACCACCAUCCCCUACCAGAAAAAUUACUUUUAUAGCCUAUCCUGCCUCUGAACUUCACACCUGAAAUGAUUGGUCAACUACCCUCAGCCAAUCAGAGUUGAGCUAGUGCCUGCUGGCCUGUCAUUAACGGCAGGCGCUAGCUCUCACACCUCGCAGUCUGAUCCGUCUGAUGAUAGUUUAGCAAU